AAUUAGCUUUGAGGAAAACGUUCACUCUUGCUUAUGUGAAGCUUGGGUAAGGUUGUGAAUAAAUAAUUGAAACUUGGAAUUGUGAAUACUGCAACUUGGAGGAAGCGGAUUAGUUGAGUUUUGAGGGGCUGCCUUGGUUUUGAAUAAAUAGCUUUGGUCGUUACGUGGAAAUCGGCCAAGAUGCAGGUCGAGAGGCAUCUCGUUAGGCGUCUGGACUCUUGAA